rnacentral:lncRNA from 1 species
CAAACAAGUAUUGCUCAAGAAGGGUGCAGGAGCUAUUCUCAGAAAGGAUGCAAGCAGGCGGAUUUUGAAGCUGACUCUCAGUAGAUUGCAGUCUUUAGGCUCCUGCGAGGUAUUGUCUGUGGCCAAGAGAGGAUCUGCCUCUGGUGUACAACUUUAGAAAUCAGCAAACUGGUGCAGGCAGGAAAGCCACCAGGAAUCACUCGUAUUACCUAUUGUGGUUUCUUUCAUGAGCGUGUAACAGCUGAUGGAACUGGCUGGCGUUCCACAGGUUUUUUGUUUUCUUAUUUUUUAAUUCUAAACAAGUUUUAAAGGAUGGUUGUUUUUCGAAUUCUGUCAUACAUGGGACUGUUAAGGGAUGAGGCUCAUUUUAAACCGUGAACUUCUCAGUUAGCCUUUGAAUAUUUUCUCUUCUUUCCGUUCACCUUGACUGUUUCUUCUGAGCAGUAGGUGGAUUUGAGAGAACCUAUCCUCCUGCAUUAUCGUUUUGCCCAAUUUGAAUAAGCCUUUCUCCAUCUCCAAGAACCAAUGUCUCAGCAAUUGGCUUACUGUGCAUGGGCACACUCACUUGAGGUUAAGAGCAAACAUUUAUUGAGUAAACAUUCACUGAUUCCUAAUGGGUGUUAGCAUAUCUAUCACGAGACAGGGAACAUCUCUAGUAAGGUUGGUACCAUCAUGCAAAAUAACCAAUAACCAUUCUAUAGAUAAGAGAGAUGAGGUGAGUUGUACUUGAGCCAGAGUGAGGAUUACAACCCAGGAGGGCCUUUUCCAGAAAGGAAGAAAGCCUUUUGGAGAAGCUUGGUUUUCAGUACAGUCUUAUACCUUUUAGAGCAAAGAAUAUACAUUAAACUCACCGAGGAUACAUGUUCAUCAAAGUUUCAGCCGUAUUCAUUUGCAAAUUAUCAGGUCAACAUGACCCUGAGGUCGGGAAAGAGACUAAUAUGGGCUGGUGUUACCAACAGGGUAUUACCGAUAGGGCCUUACCAAUAGGGUGUAGGAGGGGAAGUAUGUGUUUUAUCUUAAGAGAAGUAAAUGCAUUCUUUAAUGGUUAAAGCUGAUAUACAAUGUAUGUGUGAUAGGCCAUAAGUCAGCCCUUUUAGUUGAAGCCGAAUCAGUUUUGAACUCAAAUAGUUACCCCAUAUACCUAAAUAUGUGAAAAUCUCUUGUCAGUACAAAAGGAAGCACGUGUUUGUAAUAAAACCAUAUGAUGGUGCUGUGAUAAAGGGACCCUGCUUCCUAGAAGGAGGUGUCAUUUGAGGACAAGGAGGAAGGGGAUUGGUUGUUUAAUGGCACAGCCUGGAGUCUUCCUGGCAGAGCAAAGCAGCAGAGACGUGACAAGGCACUUCCGCUGAGGAAGUGGAUGGCUCGAAUUGAGGGACGUGUGUGGGGACAGGAGACCGGCCAGACUGGGAGUUUUGGACCAGACUGGGAGGCACUUUAUGUGAUGGGAUAGGGAGUCAAUAGGGCAAUUAAAUAUUUUAAAUAGGUGAGUGAUGCGAUGACUCGGCUUCAGUUGACGUGUUGCUAUUUGAAGGAAGCGUCCUGACCGCAGCUUGGAGGACGGAUUGAAAAACCGUCUAGACGCAGGGGGGUCAGUGAGGGGAUGUUUGUCAAUUGUGUGGACCUGAGAGAGGCAAGGUUUGAACUAAGGCAUUGUUGUUGCCAUCUGAAGAUGUGCUUUCCUGUUUAUGGGAUUCUGUGGACCAGGCAGGGUCCGCAGUCCUCUUUUCUCCUUCGAGACCUCCUUAUGCCGCUGGGAGUGAACAGCCAGGAAUUUGUGGAGGCUGGGCCCAGGGGACUGGCAGGGUCGCUAAUUUCCUGUUUGAUCAGACCCCACACUCCACCAUAAGCACUGGGGUGGCUUCCAUUUAGACUCUGGGCAAUUCCUCCAGCACUUCAGGCAUUCAAGGAAGUGUUGACCAGGACGGAGCUGGGCCCACCCAGUUAUAGACAGACCCCUGUAACCG